CACUUGAUGGUACAUGGUGUACACCUGCUUCAAUUGCAGGAGUAGAUGUACUAAAGAGCAGGAGGUCCCGGUUCGAUUCCGGGUCAGGUGA